ACUCCUACGGGGAGGCAGCAGUAGGGAAGUCUUCCACAAUGGGCGCAAGCCUGAUGGAGCAACACCGCGUGAGUGAAGAAGGGUUUCGGCUCGUAAAGCUCUGUUGUUAAAGAAGAACACGUAUGAGAGUAACUGUUCAUACGUUGACGGUAUUUAACCAGAAAGUCACGGCUAACUACGUGCCAGCAGCCGCGGUAAUACGUAGGUGGCAAGCGUUAUCCGGAUUUAUUGGGCGUAAAGAGAGUGCAGGCGGUUUUCUAAGUCUGAUGUGAAAGCCUUCGGCUUAACCGGAGAAGUGCAUCGGAAACUGGAUAACUUGAGUGCAGAAGAGGGUAGUGGAACUCCAUGUGUAGCGGUGGAAUGCGUAGAUAUAUGGAAGAACACCAGUGGCGAAGGCGGCUACCUGGUCUGCAACUGACGCUGAGACUCGAAAGCAUGGGUAGCGAACAGGAUUAGAUACCCUGGUAGGAUAGCG
rnacentral:rRNA from 1 species